GCAGAGGGAGCUUUGACUACAGGAGAGGAGAAGGCAGUGUGACCAGGGAACAGAGAUUCAAGGGAUGUGGUCACAAGCCAAGGGAGGCUGGCAGUUACCAGAAGUUAAAAGAGGCAGGGGACACGUUCUCCCCUGGAGCCUCCAGAAGGACCCAGCCCUGUGUGACAGCUUGGUUUCAGCCCAGUAAAAUUCAUGUCAGAUUCUUGUCCUCCAGAACCAUAAGAGAGUACAUUUCUGUGGUGUUAAGCCACCGAGUUGGUGGUCAUUUGUUAAAGCAGCCAUAGGAAACUGAUACUAGGAGUAAAUGGGCCUGCCUUGUGCGUAACAAGGCCUUAAAAAUGGAAACUCCGGAGUUCUCGUCGUGGCGCAGUGGUUAACGAAUCCGACUAGGAACCAUGAGGUUGCGGGUUCGGUCCCUGCCCUUGCUCAGUGGGUUAACGAUCCGGCGUUGCCGUGAGCUGUGGUGUAGGUNNNNNNNNNNNNNNNNNNNNNNNNNNNNNNNNNNNNNNNNNNNNNNNNNNNNNNNNNNNNNNNNNNNNNNNNNNNNNNNNNNNNNNNNNNNNNNNNNNNNNNNNNNNNNNNNNNNNNNNNNNNNAAAAAAAAAAAAAAAAAAAAAAAAAAAAAAAAAAAAAUGGAAACUCCGUCGCACCAGCUCUUCAAAUACCUUCUUGCAUCUUCUUUGAUAGGGCUUUUUAAGUAUUGGCUGGAAGACAGGCGGGGAAAGGGAAGUUGGAGGGAGCUCCAUUAGCCUGACAGUUUUGAAGUGGGCUUUUGAAGUGGGAGCUUUGCAGUGUUGAGUGAUUUAGUCCAGGGAGAGGAGUGAAACUGGACUUAAAACACUGCAUCCUUAUCAUUCCACAGUCAGCCUGACCCUAAUAAGUGUCAAGCUUAUCUGAGUAGCUGCUCAUCUGUAACCCUGAGGAUUCAUCCAGAGCUCACUUUGUCAGGUUGAGAGGAGCUAAGAGAUCAUCAUGCUCAAAUGCGAGAUAAGCACGAGCAGGCCCAGGGCUUUGCCUGCUUUGCCCACACACUACGAAUCGUGCUUAGCCAAGGCUAAAAUCCAGAUCUGCUUAUAUUUGCACUAAUGUUUCAGUUGGAGGAAGCAGCUUGUCGAGGUGUCCUUAAGACCACGAGCACCAGAGGGGUUUAUAACUUAGCAAAUCCUUCCCACAGAUCGAACUUCUUCUUCUUAGAAAAGACACAGAAAGUGACUGAGAAGAUCAAGCAGACACAUGCCAGGCUCCCCUCUCUGUGCCUCUGUGCAUGAUCCACAGGCCCCGCCUCUCUCUUCCACGCCCCUCUGGCUUUCAUCGGGCUCAGGGAUCUCAUCUGAGGGAGCUCUGGUAUCUGGGACCAAAGGAUCCCCUUAGUGAGAUGUCAGGCAAGUCUUUCAGAUGCUCAGAGAAUGGCCUCUGUCGGGGAAGUUCAAAGGCUUUCUAAAUACUCUGGCACACCUGCCCAGGCCAGGAUGGGACUCGGCUUGCAGAUGGACGGGAUAUGGGGAGUGCUCUUCUGAGUAUAGAUACAUGACUCAUCGUUUGAGGCAGAUGAUAGACGAUUUCCUCCAUGGAAAUACUUUAUAAGGAAAUUACGGUGAAGACUCCAUAAUCCCCAUGGACAGGAGGGGGCGGGGGCCCGGAUAAAUCAGUGAGACAGCUGCACUGUAGGGACCAGCUGAGGCGUGCAUCCUUUGAAGUAUAUUCUGCUGUAGCUCCUCUAAGCUAAUACGGUGUUUCAGCAUGGGAUCUGCUGGAUCCCGGUGUAAUGAGCAGAAAUCAGUAGGGCAUGGUUGUUUUCCAAAGAAGUAGACAUGCUUUGGCUCUUCAGCAAGUUAAAGUCUUUUGGCACACUUAAACAAUAGGUGAUUUAUAUAAAAUUGCUGGUAUUCGACUCCAUUUGACCUACCUAAAUGGUAUGUACAUAUUAGUUCAACUAUGCAUUUAAGCCUUGCUAGGACACCAGCACCUUAGCGGAGUUUGAAAAGAUCAGGACCACUCACUUCUAGGGGUGCAGGCUUGAACAGUGAGGAUACCUGCCAUGGCCAGAGAGGAACAAGGCAUGUAAGUGGGCCAUGUAAGACUUCCGGAUUCUGAAAUAAGCUAGCAGGUAAGAGAAACAAUUUCUGGCAUAGCUGGAUUAAAUUUACCAGUUGUUGGUAUACACUUAAUUAAUUAGUUAAUUUUAUCUUGCCAGUUAUUAGUUCCUUUGGUGUGAGUAGUUAGUACAGAAUGGCAUGGUUGAGAGAAAUGAAGAAAAGUAAUGUUUCUACAGAUGGUCAGUAGGUACAUAAAAAAUGUUUGACGUUGCUAAUUAUUAGAACAAUGCAAAUCAAAUCUACAGUGAGAUGUACCACUUCACACAGGUCAGAAUGGCCAUUAUUAAAAAGUCCACAAACAAUAAAUGCUGGAGAGGGUGUUGAGAAGAGGGAACCCUCCGACACUGUUGGUGGGAAUGUAAAUUGGUAUAGCCGCUAUGGAACACAGUAUGUAAGUUCUUCAGAAAACUAAAUAUAGAACUACCACAUGAUCCAACAAUUCCACUCCCUGGGUGUAUAUCCAGACUAAACUUUCAAAGUUUUGCACCCAUAUGUUCAUAGCAGCACUAUACAAUAGCCAAGACAUGGAAACAACCUAAAUGUCCAUCAACAGAUGAAUGGAUAAAUAAGAUGUGGGAUGUGGUUUUUAUAGACAAUGGAGUACUACUCAGCCAUCAAAAAAGAAUGAAAUGCCAUUUGCAACAACAUGGAUGGACCCAGAGAUUAUCAUACUAAGUGAAGUAAGUCA
rnacentral:lncRNA from 1 species